CCUACGGGAGGCAGCAGUGGGGAAUAUUGCACAAUGGGGGGAACCCUGACCGAGCAACGCCGCGUGAACGAAGAAGUUAUUCGUAAUGUAAAGUUCUUUUAACAGGGAAGAAAGAGAAAUUUGACGGUACCUGAAGAAUAAGCUCCGGCUAACUACGUGCCAGCAGCCGCGGUAAUACGUAGGGAGCGAGCGUUAUCCGGAAUUAUUGGGCGAAAAGGGUGCGUAGAUGGCAUAGUAAGUCUUUUGUAAAAAUUCUGGGCUCAACCCAGUAGGGCAAAAGAUACUGCAAAGCUAGAGUAUGACAGAGGCAAGUGGAACGACAUGUGUAGCGGUAAAAUGCGUAAAUAUAUGUAAGAACACCAGUGGCGAAGGCGGCUUGCUGGGUCGAUACUGACAUUGAGGCACGAAAGCGUGGGGAGCAAACAGGAUUAGAUACCCUUGUAGUC
rnacentral:rRNA from 1 species